GGGCUGGGGCUUGGUGGCAGAGCACUUGCCUAGCAUGUGAGAGGGACUGGGUUCAAUCCCCAGCACUACA
rnacentral:tRNA from 1 species